rnacentral:rRNA from 1 species
AAUAGAUACCCCAGGUAGUCCACGCCGUAAACGAUGAGUGCUAAGUGUUAGGGGGUUUCCGCCCCUUAGUGCUGCAGCUAACGCAUUAAGCACUCCGCCUGGGGAGUACGGUCGCAAGACUGAAACUCAAAGGAAUUGACGGGGGCCCGCACAAGCGGUGGAGCAUGUGGUUUAAUUCGAAGCAACGCGAAGAACCUUACCAGGUCUUGACAUCCCGCUGACCGCUAUGGAGACAUAGCUUUCCCUUCGGGGACAGCGGUGACAGGUGGUGCAUGGUUGUCGUCAGCUCGUGUCGUGAGAUGUUGGGUUAAGUCCCGCAACGAGCGCAACCCUUGUCCUUAGUUGCCAUCAUUCAGUUGGGCACUCUAAGGAGACUGCCGGUGACAAACCGGAGGAAGGUGGGGAUGACGUCAAAUCAUCAUGCCCCUUAUGACCUGGGCUACACACGUGCUACAAUGGAUGGUACAAAGAGCUGCGAACCCGCGAGGGUAAGCGAAUCUCAUAAAGCCAUUCUCAGUUCGGAUUGU